rnacentral:rRNA from 1 species
GACGAACGCUGGCGGCGUGCUUAACACAUGCAAGUCGAACGGAAAGGCCCCCUUGUGGGGUACUCGAGUGGCGAACGGGUGAGUAACACGGGAGUAACCUACCCUUGACUUUGGGAUAACUUCAGGAAACUGGGGCUAAUACCGGAUAGGAGCUCCUGCUGCAUGGUGGGGGUUGGAAAGUUUCGGCGGUUGGGGAUGGACUCGCGGCUUAUCAGCUUGUUGGUGGGGUAGUGGCUCACCAAGGCUUUGACGGGUAGCCGGCCUGAGAGGGUGACCGGCCACAUUGGGACUGAGAUACGGCCCAGACUCCUACGGGAGGCAGCAGUGGGGAAUAUUGCACAAUGGGCGGAAGCCUGACGCAGCAACGCCGCGUGCGGGAUGACGGCCUUCGGGUUGUAAACCGCUUUCGCCUGUGACGAAGCGUGAGUGACGGUAAUGGGUAAAGAAGCACCGGCUAGCUACGUG